CACCACCUGUAGCAGACACAUCUUCAUCUUACUCUCAAUUUUCCCAGCUGCUGAAGGAAAACCUCAGAAUCGACGCCCCCCAAGAUGGUGACUACUUCAAGCCGUAUUUGGAUUGACACUGGUAAUUGUCAGUGAUUGCUACUAUGGCCCCUUCCCUGCUGGCAGCCAGUAGAUGUAUUUAUGGUGAGAAUUUAAGGCCAAGAACAGAGGCUCCACUCAGUGCUGAGAGGCCCCGGGCUCGGCGCUCGGCGUCUGGCAAGGAUCCUGGUGAGAGCUCCCGGCCCCUGGCGGUGCAGACAGCCCUGACAUUUGAACUCUUGCGGGGCCUAAGGGUAGAAGUCAGGACCAGGGGAAGAACUGUGGAAGUAAACUGCAGCUAGAGAAAACAGCAUGUGCAAAUGCCCUGAGGCUGGAGGUGUGUGCACUGGAGAGAAGACCAGUGCCACCGGAGUGGAAGAGAGUGGCGUGAG